AAAUAAGUAAGCUAAGUAAAGCUUUUAGGUUCAUACCCUAAAAAUAGAAUUUUAUCCAACCAUUCUCUUAUUUA
rnacentral:tRNA from 1 species